UGUGUCUGGACUUGCAGAUUUACAAUAUGUAGGUUGAGUUUUGUCAGAUACUCUUUUACCAUCCCUGUGUUUAUCCUUUGCUCUUGGCCUCUCCAGCUGCUCUCUCAUAAAUCCACUGCUUUCUGCAGACGAAUCCUCAAUUCCUUCAUUAACAUUACUGAAGGUAGGUGAGAGCAGUUCUCUCCAACCCAAACCACCCUCGAGUCAGCCCAAUUCAGCGUUCAGUUGCUGGAGGAAUCAGAUUUAUUCCCUAAUUCUUCUGCUCUUCCGUUCUUAUUUCUAAAUAAAAAUAUUAAUGCACAAACACUGCAGUGUUACUAGAGUGAAGCUGUCCACAUGGAAGACAUUUAAAAUACUUCACACAUAUCCUGUUACAGCUAUGCAUUUCUUGUCUGCCAUUUUAUACCAGUGGAUUAUCUUUGAAUUGCUACACACACCACCUGGUCUCUCACACUGCAAUUCUCCCUGCAUGAUGUACUCCUGGCCAUCAUUGCCCACGGGUGACAGAACCAUCCAUCAGCUGCUUGCAGCUAAAUGGGAACAGGACAAAGGACCUGGCACCAACCUGCUGGCUCUGUCUAGCAAGUGGAUUGAUGAAGGUGCAGCAGCAUCUCCAGGGAGGACCUGGAAAAAAGGCACCCUGGGGAGCAGCCUGUGCCCGGCCAAACAGGAGCAGCAGACAUGCUAGAGCCCAGUGGGGCCCGAGUGCCCCUGUGUGGUGGGAGGGAAACAGAUCCGGGAUGGGUUUCUGCUGCUGCUGCCCAGCACUGGGAUUAGCACAAGGAGCCAGGCCCAUGGGGCAGGGGCCUGUGUGUGGGGCAGUGUGGAUGGCACAAGUUCAUCUAGGGCCAGGCAUCAUAGGGGGUGAUGUGGGGCCCCUGAAGGGCAGCUCUGGGGACCCUGAGCAUCAUAAAGAGAUUCCAUACACAACCCCUGUCCCCUCCUGCACCCGGAGCAUGGCUGAUGGCAGCUGCUUAACCCUUUCUUAGGGAUCAUCAGGGGACUGAGCCAAAGCUGUAAUUGAGCUGGGGAGCUGUUAUCACGUUAAAAUCUGGACAUAACCCAUAAUGGGAUUUGCAAUUUGUCCCAGGGAGGCAGCAGGCUGCAGUGUACUUUCUCCAUUAGGGGCCACAUGCUUCUAGCAAUCACAUUAGUGGGGCUGGGAUUUAGCAGCAGGAAAUCAAAGUGGUCCCUGCAGACCCCGGCCCAUUGCUGAGCAGACAAGGGAUGUGAAGGGGCUGCUUGCUCCACAUGCUCCCUGCUCCCAUCUGGACUGGGCUGUGCUGGGUUCUCUCUGCUCCUGCCAGCACUGAGAGCCACGGAGUCUUCCUGCUUGGUCACUUGGUGGCUGAGCCUCCUUGGAUGUCACCCAAACACGGUUUGCUGUGCUCCCAGCUGUGGUGAAGCCUCUGCAGAGUCCCAGCCCUCAUGGUCGCACUGCCCUCAUUUGCUGUUUUAUUCUUGGGAUGUGUUUGUUAAACAGAUUUUAAUCUAUGCAGUCUGGAGCUAUUGAUACCAUGCCCUGCUAACGUGUUAACUGCUGUCAAGCAGACCAAGAGAAAUGCCAAAUAUUAAAUAAAAUGUAUUGUGU
rnacentral:lncRNA from 14 species